UGCUGAAAAAUGUCCUUUUGGGGGGGGGGCUAGAAAGAAAGUGCCCACUUUCUUUCUAGCCCCCCCCCCCAAAAGGACAUUUUUUCACUUUU